CAUUGCCCAGUCGCAAUAUACUCAAACUAAUGACAUUAGUCUUUUUCUUCUCUUUUUAAUUAAUAGUUUAAUUAAAGAGAAGUGUAAUCCCUGCUAAUGCUUCCGAGGAGGUGGCUUCUUGCAGGGCUGCUGUGGGUCCAGCUCACUGCCAGCCCUCCUCUUACGGGGCCGCCGAGCCCUCCCAGGCGAGUGGCCAGGAGCAGAGGGGCUGCUGCCCUGGGCAGAGAGACCUGCUGCUGCUGCCUGCUCCGUCUCCUUGUGGGGCUCCUCGUGUUCCGUGGGGAUGUGCACAGCAGGGGUGUCACUGGGAUCCCCACGGAGGACAGCCUCUGAUGUGCUGGGCUGCUCCUCUCUGUUGGCAUUUCUGGUGCUGCUGUUGGGUCUGGGGCUUGAUGUGACGGUCCCCUGUGGGGAGGCUGUGGGGCCAGGGGCAGCCACAGAGCUGUCCUCCUGCCCCCUGUCUGCAGGGCCCUCCUCCUGCCCUGUGGACACGUGGACGCCCUGGAGGCCCAGCUGCCCGUGGGCCUCCUCGCCCCAGCGGUUCACAGUAGCGUCCACAAGGCCCUGGAUGAGCGUCUCCGCUCUGUCCCCCAGGGCAGGCCGCAGCAGCUGGGUCAGGGCCUCGGUGUCCAGCCCGAUGUUACACAGGGUGUUCAGGAUGAGGUUCUCUGCCGCCAUUGCCUCCCACCACUGUGUCCCAAAGAUGGCUCGCAGCUCCUGGCGCAGCCAUGGCAGCACAGGGUCGAGGAUCUCCGGGUGCUGCCUGAACAGGGCUGCCCAGACCUCCAGCAGGAGACCGCCCACCAUAGGCCCCUCCUCUGCCUCCAUAUCCUCCUGCUCCUCUGGAGGGGAUGGCACAUCAUGCUGGCGGCGGUAGAUGUAGGCGAUGCCAGCCUGGAAGCAGGCAGGUAGUGGUGGUGCUGGGGGAGAGAUGGUGAAAUCCAGGUCGUUGUCGUCAUCCCACGCAGCAACCUUAACGACUGUCAUUAUCCUCCUGCAGAGCGGGCAGGUCUCUUUCUGCAUGGCCCACCGCAGGAUGCAGCCGAGGCAGAACUCGUGACGGCACGGCACUGCGUAGGCAAUGUCCUUUUGCACGUCACGGCAGAUGGGACAUGUCCACUCCUCCUCUGCUGCCAUGGUCUUCACGCUGUGGCCUGAUGGGGAAUGAAGAUGAACUGUUCUUCCUCACCAGUGCCUCAGUGGUGAAAGUUGAGCACUGCAAGAGGGAGAGAGAUCAUGGUCAUUCUUUGUCCCAGGAACAGAUAGAAGAAAUGUCCUGGUCAUAAAACUAUAGAAUCGUUAAGGUUGUAAAAGAUUUCUGACUUCAUCUGAUCCAACCAUCAACCCAUCACCACCAUGUCGGCUAAGCCAUGUCCCUCAGUGUCACCCCUACAUCUUUCUUGAUCCCUGGCCUCGAGAAAUGGUGACACCACGACUUCCCUGUGCAGACUGUUCCAAUGCAUUGCCACUCUUUAUAAGUUUUUUCUUGAUAUCCAACAGGAACUUCCCCUGGGUCCCUCAGCAGUCUAUCCUCCCUGACCCACUCCUGUGUUGCCGCAUGCCCCACACCCUCGCUGGGUCAGACUUCAGCCCUGGCCCUGGCAGCUCCCCUUGUUCCUUCGAUUACCCCAUUGCCACCCUGUGGGAUGUAUUCUCACCCGGCUCACCUGUGCUGCUGCACGUGCACUUUGUGGGGCCCCGGCUGCCUGAGCCAGGCAGGCCAGGGGAUUACAGGUGAUGGCUGUAGGGAUGGGCACUGAGAGCAGCUGCCAGCAGUCCCCAAAGCACAGCCCAACACACAAGCAAAAUCCUCGCUCCACCUCCAAGCCUCACACACUCGCUCGGCAGGAGUCCAGGCACGAGACUGACUGGGCCAGGCCCUGCCAGUGCCCAAAGCUCGGUGGCAUCACAGCCUGUUGCUCAGUGAUGUCACCAUAGUCCUUGUGCCACCACAGCACUGUCCCCAGCAGCACCUCCCCAUCUGCCUUCUCCUGGGUUCAGCUGUUUCCUGGAGUCUCCAAGGAUUUAGCUGUGACUCCCCAGAGGCCUGUCAUGUAUUGUCCUACCUCUGUUUGUCAUUUCCAAAAUACCACUUCUUCCCCUUCCCCUCUCCUCCAUUUUUCUUUUUAAACAUGUCUGUAAGGUCCUCAGCUUCAUAUAGACAUGUUUUUCAGAUAUUGCCUCUUCUUCUUUCCUUAAUUUGCUCUACCUUUUCUUCCUGCCCUCCUUUUACAGGACUAUUAAUUUGACAUCGAUGCACAGAUGUUUUUUUUUUCCCUGCUUAAAUUACCUCGAAUUGGUCUUGAGGUUAUGUUUCCUCUGAUUCUGCAUCAGCAAACUCUGAUUUUUUCACUAUAUGUUAUGCAGAAUAUGUUAUGCAGAAACAUUGUUCCUCAUUAUCCACGUUUUCGUUUUCUUG
rnacentral:lncRNA from 1 species